AUGCCUGGCCUUCCUGAAACCAAAGAAUGGGCUGUCAGACCUUUGAAUCGUCAGUAGAAGACCCCAAAGAGGUAAAACCGUUGGAGAUGUUCACUCCAAGGCUCUUCAAAUCUAUUGAUGAUUUCCUGCCACCCAGAAGCCUGGACGGGCCCAGCAUCUGUCCUUUCCAGACCUGGUUUUCUAUCUUUCUCUGAGAUCUAUGGAGCCAGAGUCUCUGUUUCCUCCCCGGAUGCCUUCAACAUAAGUGCCCCCUUUCCUUGAGCACCCAGCUCUUCAUGUGGAGCUCCAGGAAGCCACACAGAGGAGGGACUCAGUCUUUGGAGAUAGACGCUCUUUGCUGAAAUGCCUUUUCAGUUCCUUCCUCACUUUGGGAAUGUUGGAAUCUAUGCACAUCAGUGGGUGAGCUUCUAGCUGACAUUUCUACAGCUGCCUGUCUCCUGUGUGAAGCCACAGGACUUUCUGUGUAUGGCCUCCAGCUUCCGUGACUGUGUGUAUGUCCUCUGUCAACUUUCCCCCAUUUUUUUUUUCACAAACAGCCACCUGCUACUAACGGAGAAAGUUUUGGGUGCUACGUGGUGUUGCUAUUAGUAAAAUGGAACUAUAUAGCACUAUUGCCUGGAGAUCAAUGUGGUUGGCCCUACUACACCAUUAUUGCCUCUCUUUGCUUGCUAAGCUUCCCCUUUAUAAUAGAAAAAAAAAAGCUGCCUUCAGGCUAAAAUAUUCGUAGGUAGCACAUUCUCCCUGAAAUUAAUUAUGUUGAAAAUUUAAUUAAAAUGUAAUUUAACAAAA